rnacentral:rRNA from 1 species
UACGGGGGGGGCAAGCGUUGUUCGGAAUUACUGGGCGUACAGGGUUUGUAGGUGGCUGAUUAAGUCAGACGUGAAAUCCCUCAGCUUAACUGGGGAACUGCGUCUGAUACUGGUUAGCUUGAGUGCAGGAGAGGAACGCGGAAUUCCAGGUGUAGCGGUGAAAUGCGUAGAUAUCUGGAGGAACACCGGUGGCGAAAGCGCUCUGCUAGGCCGCAACUGACACUCAUGGAUGAAAGCUAGGGGAGCGAAUGGG